AGGGUGCUCAGCACAGUGGGCUGCAGCACAGGAAAGCUGUGCUCUGGAAAAUGUGCUUGAAACACUGAAGAUUUCACACAGGGACAUUUCUCCCUGUAUAAUGACUAAAGAGCAAUAGAGCUGACUCCGGAGGAGAGUGAGGGAGUAAUGAGUGAAUGGCACACG